AGUUUGAUAGCUCAAUGGUAGAGCGGUUCUCUCAUAAGGAACAGGUUGAUAGUUCGAUUCUAUCUCAGACUACAA
rnacentral:tRNA from 1 species